rnacentral:lncRNA from 1 species
ACGACUUAAAAAUAUUUAUUUAAAUGUAUUAAGAUUUUGGUUAAUUGUCAAAACUUUACAUGUGCCACAUAAAUUGGGACAUGGAGAGUCACACAUAUAUUUUUUUUAAAAUUACAUUAAAAGUAUUCUAUCAAUUAACAACAUAUAUUGUUUGAAAUUGACGAAAAAGAAACUAUAAAUUACAAUAAUUAACAAAAUAAAUCUCUCGACUCCAACAAAUCUAUCAAUUAAU